UACGAAGGGGGCUAGCGUUGUUCGGAAUUACUGGGCGUAAAGCGCGCGUAGGCGGACCUGCAAGUCGGGGGUGAAAGCCCGAGGCUCAACCUCGGAACUGCCUUCGAUACUGCGGGUCUCGAGUCCGGGAGAGGUGAGUGGAAUUCCUAGUGUAGAGGUGAAAUUCGUAGAUAUUAGGAAGAACACCAGUGGCGAAGGCGGCUCACUGGCCCGGUACUGACGCUGAGGCGCGAAAGCGUGGGGGGCAAACAGG
rnacentral:rRNA from 1 species